rnacentral:tRNA from 1 species
GGAGGGAUGCCCGAGCGGCUAAAGGGGACGGGCUGUAAACCCGUUGGCAUACCGCCUACACUGGUUCGAAUCCAGUUCCCUCCACCA